AGUUGUCGGUGCCGUCCGCCUGAGGGGGGGAGAGAGAGAGAGAGAGAGACCGGACCCGAGUGACCGCCAUUAACACGCUAGGAACGGGGGCGGGGAUACGCCGGGCAACGACUGUGAGUGACGAGGUUGUUGUUGUGGUUGUUGUGAGGCGAAGAUCGAGCAAAUUCACUCAUCACCAGCAGCCGCCUGAGGAGAAACACUCGACCAACCGCCAUUAGCGCGGUGUGAAGGGAAAAGUCGGCUUUCGUCAGGUAUUAUUGGUGUUGUUGUGAGGCGGCGGCCGCCUGGGGUCGAGGAGAAACAGAUUGAGCGAGCGGCAUUAAGGCGAUGAGGGAGCAGGAGGAGGUUGUGUUGUUGUUGGUGUGAGGAGAAGGAGGAGGAGGUGAAGGGACCCCCGACCCGUGAGUGCGGCCGGCGAAGGGGAGCGGCGUUCCCCCCUCUCCUAUGGAGCGCACUGACCUGGCCGCCCGCCCGCCACUCGACGACACGCCAUGCCCAGGCCCGAGUGCGGCCGCCGCCGCCGACAACUGCUGCUGCUGCCGCCGCCGCCGCUGCCGCCCGGCUGGGAGGAGGCCACCGACCAUGACGGCAAACGCUACUACAUCGACCACAACGCCAGGCAGACGAGCUGGGUGGAUCCCCGCGACAGAUGGACCAAACCACUUUCAUUUGGUGAUUGUGUAGGAGAUGAAUUACCAUUGGGCUGGGAGGAAGCGUUUGAUGCACAAGUUGGAGUUUAUUACAUUGAUCACAAUACAAAGACAACACAGGUGGAGGAUCCUCGGGCUCAAUGGCGAAGAGAACAGGAACUAAUGUUAAAGGACUAUCUUGUAGUAGCUCAGGAUGCAUUAACCGCUCAGAAGGAAAUCUACCAAGUCAAGCAACAGAGAUUAGAAUUGGCCCAACAUGAAUACAAACAGCUAUAUGAUGUUUGGAAAGAUAAAUCUGGUUCCCAGACUAGCUUAUUCUCAGGCUCUUCGUCUAGUACUAAAUAUGAUCCAGACAUUCUCAAAGCAGAAAUUUCUACAACCAAAUCUAGGGUGAAAAAAUUGAAGAGAGAGCUGACUCAUAUGAGGCAUGAACUGCAGUACAAAGAGCAAGGAUUUGAAACUCUCAAAGCAAUUGACCUCAAAAUGUCAGGGGCUCAGGGAGGAUACAAACUUGAUGAAGCAAAGGCAAUUGUGAGUGAAAUGAAAACCAUCAAAAAGGCUAUUAGCUCAGGAGAGAAGGAAAAAAGGGACCUAAUUCAGUCUCUGGCCAGAUUGAGAGAUGGUUUCCAACUUAAAACUGAGUUUCAAUCUGAUCUCUGGAACAGUGAUCCCUCAUUAGUAAAUUCAAACCAAUCUGUCAGCCGCCACUGCUCAGACGUUGGGUCCCAGACAGAUAUUUCGGGAGAUUUUGUUUGUGGCCGAAACACUAAAUUGGCUGAAAAGGUGAGACUCAGUCUACAGUAUGAAGAGUCAAAGAGAAGGAUUUCAGACAUAAAAAUUGAGCUAGCUAAACUCACUAGUGAGGCAUGGCCUGGAGUAUUGGAUGCAGAACAAGACAGGCUGAUACUGAUUAAUGAGAAAGAAGAACUAUUGAAGGAACUGCAGUUUAUAAACCCUCGCAAGUGGGUACCCAGUGAGGUGGAGCGACUGGAAAUGGAACGAAAGCAAUUGGCAGAAGACCUCCAGGUAGCAAGAGAUACACAAAGCAAGGCACUCACAGAAAGAUUAAAGAUGCACAGCAAGAGGAACUAUUUGUUGAGGGAGUUAGAAGAGGCAACACGUAUAGCAUCAACGUUACAUUCACAACUUCAAAGUCUUUCAACCAGCACUCUUUCACUAUCAUCAGGCAGCAGCAAAGGGUCACUGACGUCCAGCCACGGAUCUCUUGGUGCAUCCAGCAUGGGAUCUUCAAGUUCUAUUAGCUUUACUGACCUGUACUAUGAUCACCCGGAACAAACAGUAGACCUAGACUAUCAGUAUAAAUUGGAUAUCUUGCUACAGGAGGAUACCACAAGCAAUAGACCUGCAAACUCUAUCACCACCAUACAUGAAAAUGAGGUGGUAAAUACUCGUAAUUAUUCCUCGCACACCGAUACUUAUGGAAAUCCAAAGAAGAUUCAUGCACGGAGAUUUUUAUCUGAGACUCCCAAGUCUCUGACUUCAUUGAGCCCAAGGUCGUCCUUAUCCUCCCUUUCGCCGCCUGGUUCUCCUGUGGUCAGAGACAUCCAUUUUUUGAUAUCUUCAGGGGAAUCUCUUUUGAGCCAUGCCAAUGCAGACUUUGAAGAUGCAGAGCUUCCUGAUGUAAUUACUAAUUUUAGUUUGCACACUGCGAAUGAUGACCAGAUACCUUCAGAAUCUGUGCCUUCAGAUACAGUCUUUUUACCUUCUUUAAACUUGGAAACUGAAAACAAGUCUGAAGAUGGACCAUUUAAUUAUUCAUCAAACCUUAAGAGUGAAGAAACUGGAAUUUCUACCAAAUCUAAUGAAGCUAUAGAAGAUGCCAGCACACAAACAGAGGUGCCUGGACCAAUACUACAUCCCAAAAUUGCUUGUGUUUCAGCAGCAGUAUCAGAUGAGUCCGUAGCAGGGGACAGUGGUGUAUAUGAAGCAGUCAAAAGAUCAUGUGAGACGGAGGAUGCACUUUUUGAUGAAGAAAUAGAGGCACUGGGUGCUUCCAGACUCCAAAUAGCAAUGAAGUAUGAUGAUAAAAGCAAAAGAUUUGCAAUAUUUAUUAUUCAGUUAAAUAAUCCAGCAGCACUCAUAAUACCACAGAACCAGACAAUAUACGUCCGAGUGGCUGUGCUUCCGAGCUCUGAAAAUGCAAGUUGUCUCUUCCGCACCAAGGCUCUAGUAGUUGCUGAAAGCGUGGCAUACAAUGAGGUCUUUUGGGUCACCAUUUCCUUUUCUGCAUUGCGUCAAAAGACACUGCGAGUUGAUGUUUGUUCUGUGGAUAAAUCUCACCGGGAAGAGUGUUUGGGCGGGGCUCAAAUCAGCUUGGCGAAUGUGAAUAGAUCUGGGGACAGAUCAAUGCACUGGUACAACCUCCUGAGUCGCCCUUAUCUCCAAGAGCAAAACAUGAGGCACUGUGCUCAAGAUGAAGCUGUUCUUCAAUCAGAAGUUAAUCACAAUACAUCAGAACAGAAAGAUUCCAUAUCUACACUUCUGGAACAAACAGCUGCUGAGCUGGAAACAGUUGAACGAAGACUAGAAAGCCACAGAAAUAUAUUGAGUGUGGAAGAGGAAUGGCAUGAAGUUCCAGCAGAGGGAGGUGAAUUUGGUAAAAGAGAAAUAGCUCAGGAUGAAGACCAGGAUGUGUACAUUGGAGUUCCAUGGGAAAAUGAACAUGAUGCUGAGACUCCCAAUGAACAUACUGUCACAGCGGUCGCUGCGAUGAAGAUUGAUAAAGAGACCAGUACAGAGGAGAUUGUGGCAACAGCUUCUGCAGUGCGCCCAAAGGAUAGAAGAGUUUCUAACACUCAGCAGAGCCCAUUUGUGAGAGGCAGUGCUAUUAUUCGUUCAAAAACGUUCUCUCCGGGCGCACAGAAUUCCUACGUGUGCAGGUUAAAUCGAAGUGAUAGUGACAGCUCAACAUUGUCAAAGAGAUCCCCCUUUGUUCGUAAUGCCAUGGAAAGGCGUAGUUUGCGAAUGAAAAUGCCUUCAAUCAGAAGAGUGGGAUCAGAAAGAGUGAUACGAACCUCUUUAGAUUUGGAGUUGGACCUUCAGGCUUCAAGAACCAGAAAAAACAGAUUAUCUCAGGAACUGGAUAUCUUGCGGGAUUUGAAACAGCAAAUUGACGAGGCCAAAGCCAGAGGAGAGACAGAGCUGCCUCAAUCGGUUAAGGAGGAUGAACGAUUUCAAACCCUGCUGAAGCAAAUUGAAAAACAGGCGGAGCAAACAAAAGAACAGCAGAAACAGGAGAUUAAAGUUCAACGGCUAAUGAAGAAAACAUCUAAAGAGGUACACAAGUUACGAGAACAGAGUCAGAAAGAGCCCCUGGAGAUGCAGUCGUUCUGGGAGAAGAUGGCAUUUUUCACACGAGGAAGGGGAAGUUUCCUCCCAUUGCCUGCUGAUGAUGUGUGAUCGUCUUUUUUUUAAAAGUAUUUGAAUUUCUUGCAGUAAUCACCUGAAUUCUGCUGAAUUCUUAACACUACUUUACUGAUGAUUCUUUUUGUGCAUUAUGAAAGUACAGAUAUAUUUUGUAAAUUUUAGAAAUCAACGCAGUCUUUGCAUUGUUUGAAUGUAUACAAAAUCUACAUUUUGAUUAUAUGUUGAACUUCUACAGAGAGAAUGUAGCAUACUUUGAUGUUAAAACUAAUUUGUACAGUUUAUAUUUCAGUCAUUUGUUUUUUUUUUCUAAGAAAUGAUGAUAAAAUGGCACCAAGAACAAAUCAAAUGCGUUUAAGAAAGAACUGCAGAUGCUGGAAAAUCGUAGUUUCUCCAGCAUUUGUGUGUACCACAAAUCAAAUGCAUUCAUUCAGAAGGAAAUAUUGCUUUUGGGUUAUUGUAUAGUAAUUAGUUUUAUAAAUGUUAAACUGCAAUAGAUAGGUUGAAGCACCAAUUAGAAGCUGUGACUAAAUAACACUCAGUAUUGUUUGUGAUGUCACUAUUUUGAGGUACCUAAACAGAAACUCUAUAUUCUUCUAUUAAAAUAGUCUGUUAUAUUGAAAAGAUAAGCCCCCUUUUUCUCCUCAAUAUAUUUAUAAAACUUUGGGGGGGGAAAAAUUACUUCUGAAAAUAAUGCAAUGUAGUUUUAAAACACUGUACUGUAUUUGUGUGCAAGUUAAAUGAUCCUUAUUUUAACACAACAAAUUAAGUUUUGACACUGGCCAGUUUUUAGGGCCAGGUAAAUGUCAGCUGGGAAUAUAGAAUUUCAUCUUCACGAGUGCUGUUUCUGUUAUGAAAUGUUCACUCUGCUCUCCUGCUGUUGAAACUGGGAAGAUUGCUAGACUACAAAACCUGUUUUUUUUAUAUAAUGAGCCAGUGCCAAUUUGAACAGCAAUUCAUGGCAGCAAGUACCUUUAUUACCUGACAGCUACAGACUACUAACGGUGAUGGAUUUGUCAAAUACCAGCAUAAAUUCAUUUCCAAUUGAUGCAGGACUGGAUUUUGUUACCUUCAUUAUCAACAGAACAUGCAUUGUACCAAACUCUCUAACUUGUUGCUUGAUUCCAUUUGGAAAGGUGCAGAUUGGCUUGCUUAUACCCAAUGUCCCAUCACGGCAACAUUGAAGCACUGAGAUUACCAACUAUUUUAAAUUAUCUUUACGACAGUACAUUACAUUUAGAUGUUUCAGAAUUGCUGUUAUCCGACACCAUUAAUUUAAAUUGGAAAAUCAAGGUGCUCCUGAUAAACCAUACAGAUUCAAACAAAGACUUGCAAGCUGUGGGCAAAUUCUGUGGCUUCAUUUAAUUCACGAUUUGAAAAUGUGUCUGGAUGCAGCUCUCCUAUCCAAUUUCGAAGGACUUGUCAAUAUUUGGCCUUUUGCCUUUCGUGAAAUAGUUCCAAGGUCUGGCUAUUUAGGCCAUUUGUAGGAAAGUAAUGCAUCAUUUGGAGGGUUGUUCAGGCGAGUUGUCCACUUUUCCUUUGUGGUUACAUUCUCUACAGAGAGUCCCUGGAAAGGGAGCAUGUUAUAUUCACAGGUGGACAAAAAUGCUGGAGAAAUUCAGCGGGUGAGGCAGCAUCUAUGGAUCGAUUUUCUUCCUUCGAUUUUCCAGCAUCUGCAGUUCCUUCUUAAACAUGUUAUAUCCACAAAACACUUGAGGCCUCUGCUGCCUGUACACACAUACCUAGAGUUAACUUUAAGUUCAACAAAAUUCAACUUCAUUUCCUGUUUUUAAAUUGGUCUCCAUCCAAAGUAGAGCAAACAAAUCAAUCUGAUGGAGAGACUCAGUGGGACUGGGUCAUCUUCAUGGGGAGAAUCGGCAGCCCCAGAGAGGCUUUCAUGCCUCUUCGCAGUGUCAGACUGGAGCCGAGCUCAACAGGAUCUUCCUUCCCCCACCGAUCCUGCCCAGCCCGUUCCCUUAUCUGUGGUUUUGCUAGACAAUAGGUAGGGAUAGUGGAAAUCUCAUUCAUCCAUUCAUGUGUCACUAAUUAGAUGACAACACUUUUGGCUAUUUGAACUAAGGCAAGUAAGCAGCAUGUCUCCCUUUGAGUUUUUACCUUGCUCAUCUACGUAAUUGAAAACCCUGGCGAGAUCUGAAAACUGGUGGAACAGUAAAAACCACCAAAAAGAAGCAGAAUAUGGCAUCUAGAGGGCCGUCCCUGGGUAAAGUCUGGGACGAUUGAGGUUUAGUAUAUAUAGCGUGGAAACAGUCCCUCCGGCCCACCGAGUCUGUCAAUGAGUAAUCCCUACCCUACACACCCCAGGGACAAUUAUUUGCCAAUUUACCUACAUCUUUGGCGUGUGGGUGAAAAGCGAAGAUCUCGGAGAACUCGCGGGGAGAACAUACAAACUCUGUUCAGACAGCGCCCAUAGUCAGGAUCGAUCCCGGGUCUAUGGCGCUGUAAGGCAGCAACUCUACUGCUGCGCCACUAAGGUUGUUAUCCAAUAACAUCACUUGACGUGUAUUUUGCUG